GUUAAUGAGGCGAACCGGGGGAACUGAAACAUCUAAGUACCCCGAGGAAAAGAAAUCAACCGAGAUUCCCCCAGUAGCGGCGAGCGAACGGGGAGGAGCCCAGAGCCUGAAUCAGCAUGUGUGUUAGUGGAAGCGUCUGGAAAGGCGCGCGAUACAGGGUGACAGCCCCGUACACAAAAGCGCAUGUGCUGUGAGCUCGAUGAGUAGGGCGGGACACGUGGUAUCCUGUCUGAAUAUGGGGGGACCAUCCUCCAAGGCUAAAUACUCCUGACUGACCGAUAGUGAACCAGUACCGUGAGGGAAAGGCGAAAAGAACCCCGGCGAGGGGAGUGAAAAAGAACCUGAAACCGUGUACGUACAAGCAGUGGGAGCACAGGUUUACCUGUGUGACUGCGUACCUUUUGUAUAAUGGGUCAGCGACUUAUAUUCUGUAGCAAGGUUAACCGAAUAGGGGAGCCGGAGGGAAACCGAGUCUUAAUUGGGCGUUAAGUUGCAGGGUAUAGACCCGAAACCCGGUGAUCUAGCCAUGGGCAGGUUGAAGGUUGGGUAACACUAACUGGAGGACCGAACCGACUAAUGUUGAAAAAUUAGCGGAUGACCUGUGGCUGGGGGUGAAAGGCCAAUCAAACCGGGAGAUAGCUGGU
rnacentral:rRNA from 1 species